rnacentral:lncRNA from 1 species
UGGCAUAUUGGCACAGACCUAAGACAUUGAUUAACAUCUGAAGCAUAAUGUGCUACCUGAAGCUCCAAACAAAUUUUCCAAAGCACAAAAUAAAAACUUCUCAAAAGAUGCGAUCUAGCUACAAUUAAUUGCAAGUUGUAAUGAGAAAGAAAAAUUCUUUAAGCAUGCAAGAAAAAACCGAGAUUGAGAACUGAAAUGUAGAGUAAACCUCCAUCUAAAGCUAGAUCAAUAGCACAGAAGCACCAUCUGUCUCAAGUGGGUGGGUCAAGCGUUUUCAUGUUAAAUAAUAAAUUCAUAUUCAAACCAAUGGCAAUGGAAAAUAUUGCAAGUCUAGUGAAAGAAAUUAACCCAAUGGGGAAUGUUUCUGCACAUUAAGUUUGUUCCUGGGAAUAGAAUUCAGGAUUUCUCUAUCUGGAAGUGCCAUUUUCACCCAUUGAUCACUGCAACAAAUGAAUGCAAUUAGAAUCCUAAAAUUGGAACCUUUGAAUUGUGAGGGAAUUCCAUAUCCGAGUGAAAAAAAAAAAAAAAUCAAAACACCAUAGUCCUUUAGUUUGUUCACAUGCCUAUCCAAAAAGCUACCUGCAAACAAACACACUUUGCUUGAACAACAAACAACAUUGAAGCCUCCAAUUUCUGUUUCCUCCUUUUUUUCCCCUUUCUAAGCAAAAGCAUGGAUUCCAAAUAAAUCAAUUGCAAAGAUGGACGGCGCGUAAGGAUAGGUAAUGCAGAAAAGCGAAAAGAAGAGAGAGACGGAGAACAAUCGCCGACCACUUUGGGAUGGACAAUGCGCAAGAUAAAGGGAUUAAAGGACAGGUGCUAACGUGUGCAGUGGUGUAGUUUAUUGCCGUGGCGGUAUUCGCUGUAGGACAGAUUCUGA